GGUCCGAUGCCACGUCGCUGAUAGCGAAAUUUACUGCGAUGAUUUGCGAUGCUAUGAUUGGUACCUACAUCAAAUUUAAUUAUGUCUCGCAAUUGAUAGGAACCCGUUAGUCGUCAUUUAUGAUUAAACGGAGCCGGUUUUUGCGAUUACAUAU